AUUGAACGCUGGCGGCAGGCCUAACACAUGCAAGUCGAACGAGUGGCGGACGGGUGAGUAAUGUCUGGGAAACUGCCUGAUGGAGGGGGAUAACUACUGGAAACGGUAGCUAAUACAGCAUACCAUCGGAUGUGCCCAGAUGGGAUUCGCUAGUAGGUGGGGUAACGGCUCACCUAGGCGACGAUCCCUAGCUGGUAUGAGAGGAGGACCAGCAAAACUGUAACUGAGACACGGUCCAGACUCCUAAGGGAGGCAGCAGUGGGGAAUAUUGGACAAGGGGCGAAAGCCUGAUCCAGCCAUGCCGCGUGUGUGAAGAAGGUCUUCGGAUUGUAAAGCACUUUAAGUUGGGAGGCGUUACCAGCAGAAGAAGCACCGGCUAACUUCGUGCCAGCAGCCGCGGUAAUUC
rnacentral:rRNA from 1 species